GCGGAGGAAAAGAACUAACGAGGAUUCCCCUAGUAACUGCGAGUGAAGCGGGAAGAGCUCACAUUUUGAAUCGGCGGUCGCUGUCGGCCGUCCGAGUUGUAAUCUGGAGAAGCGUUUUCCGCGCUGGGCCGUGUACAAGUCUCCUGGAAGGGAGCGUCGCAGAGGGUGAGAACCCCGUCUACGACACGGACGCACCAGGGCUUUGUGAUGCGCUCUCGACGAGUCGAGUUGUUUGGGAAUGCAGCUCAAAACGGGUGGUAAACUCCAUCUAAAGCUAAAUACUGGCGAGAGACCGAUAGCGAACAAGUACCGUGAGGGAAAGAUGAAAAGCACUUUGGAAAGAGAGUGAAACAGUACGUGAAAUUGCUGAAAGGGAAACGCUCGACGCCAGUCGCGUCGGCCUCGGGGGUCAACCUUGCGUUCGCUCGGCGUACUUCCCGGUCGACGGGUCAGCAUCGGUGUCCGUCGCCGUACAAGGGCGCGAGGGGAACGUGGCACUCUCCGGAGUGUGUUAUAGCCCCUUCGUCGGAUGCGGCGGUGGGCACCGAGGAACCCAGCGCCUCCGCGCGCUCGGGAUGCUGGCAUAAUGGCCUCGAGCGACCCGUCUUGAAACACGGACCAAGGAGUCUAACAUGCCUGCGAGUGUUCGGGUGUCAAACCCGCGCGCGCAACGAAAGUGAAGGUCGAGACCUCCGUCGUGGAGGGCACCGACGCCCGGACCAGAGUCUUCGACGACG
rnacentral:rRNA from 1 species